UGGGGAAUAUUGCACAAUGGGCGCAAGCCUGAUGCAGCCAUGCCGCGUGUGUGAAGAAGGCCUUCGGGUUGUAAAGCACUUUCAGCGAGGAGGAAGGUGGUGAGCUUAAUACGCUCAUCAAUUGACGUUACUCGCAGAAGAAGCACCGGCUAACUCCGUGCCAGCAGCCGCGGUAAUACGGAGGGUGCAAGCGUUAAUCGGAAUUACUGGGCGUAAAGCGCACGCAGGCGGUUUGUUAAGUCAGAUGUGAAAUCCCCGGGCUCAACCUGGGAACUGCAUUUGAAACUGGCAAGCUAGAGUCUCGUAGAGGGGGGUAGAAUUCCAGGUGUAGCGGUGAAAUGCGUAGAGAUCUGGAGGAGUACCGGUGGCGAAGGCGGCCCCCUGGACGAAGACUGACGCUCAGGUGCGAAAAGCGUGGGGAGCAAAACAGGAUUAGAUACCCUGGUAGUCCACGCUGUAAAACGAUGUCGAUUUUGGAGGUUGUGCCCUUGAGGCGUGGCUUCCGGAGCUAACGCGUUAAAUCGACCGCCUGGGGAGUACGGCCGCAAGGUUAAAACUUAAAGGAAUUGAC
rnacentral:rRNA from 1 species